rnacentral:rRNA from 1 species
CCUACGGGAGGCAGCAGUAGGGAAUCUUCCGCAAUGGGCGAAAGCCUGACGGAGCAACGCCGCGUGAGUGAAGAAGGAUUUCGGUUCGUAAAGCUCUGUUGUUAGGGAAGAAUGAUUGUAUAGUAACUAUAUACAGUAGAGACGGUACCUAACCAGAAAGCCACGGCUAACUACGUGCCAGCAGCCGCGGUAAUACGUAGGUGGCAAGCGUUGUCCGGAAUUAUUGGGCGUAAAGCGCGCGCAGGUGGUUUAAUAAGUCUGAUGUGAAAGCCCACGGCUCAACCGUGGAGGGUCAUUGGAAACUGUAAACUUGCGUGCAGGAGAGAAAAGUGGAAUUCCUAGUGUCGCGGUGAAAUGCGUAGAGAUUAGGAGGAACACCAGUGGCGAAGGCGGCUUUGUGGCCUGUAACUGACACUGAGGCGCGAAAGCGUGGGGAGCAAACAGGAUUAGAUACCCGAGUAGUC